AGUAGCAGGAGGCUGGCUGACGGUGCUGAUUCAUUUCGGCGCUGAGGAAAGUCCGCCCACUCAAACCUUUUAAAAAAAAAGGUUUACGAAAAAACUGCUUUUGGCAGAAAAAUCACUCUUGAAAAGGAGUCCCAGGGAACAGAAACGGUACCCAUUCAUUUGGGUUGAAACGCGCCUUGGGUUGAACAAGCAGUCAAAUGCUUGGGAGUGCAAGUUCAAGUAACGCUAAGGUGAAUGCCGGCAGCCCUGCUUGCAGGGGUAACAGAAGGCGGCUUACUCCCUGCUGCU
rnacentral:RNase_P_RNA from 2 species